UGGAUGUGACCAUGGCCAAGG
rnacentral:misc_RNA from 1 species